ACAGAAAGGCGAAUGCUGACGAGUCCAAGAAGUCCAUCUGCUAGCGUAUCAGCGGGCGUAAGCGCGAGGUCCGUGAGCGCAGUGGACGCGGCCGCGGCGCAGCGCGCCAAGGCGAGGGCCAUGUACUCGCACCUCGCCAGGAACAAGGUGGCCGCUGGGACGGCUAGUCUGCAGGGGGAGAUGGCCCAACAAG